rnacentral:tRNA from 3 species
GCUAGUGUGGCAGAGCCCGGCAAUUGCAAAAGGCCUAAGCCCUUUCACCCAGAGGUUCAAAUCCUCUCACUAGCU